CACAAGACUUUGAUCAGCUGUCAUGGAAGAACAAGAAAAGAAAACAGAGUAAAGUAACGAUUAAUAAUGAUUGCUGGUUUGCUGAAGAGAAUAAUAAUUCUCUUUGUAUUCUCUUAGAUAUUAGCAGUGAGCACCUGUCCAGUGAGGGCAAGUAGCUUCAUCACUUUCAGUCCCACCCACAUAAGACUUUGGAUUCCCAGAAGGAGGCGUCACUUUUGGCCCGAGCAAGCUGCAGGAUGGAGCUUCUUAAAAGCCAGACUGUCUUAAAAACAUCUCUGAAGCUUCCAUUAUGGAAUACAUGAAAAGCUACACUCUUUACAUUAUUUUUCAGCUUAUUUUUUUUCUCUCGUCCUUGAACAAAUAAAAGUAAUUACUGGAUUGUUGUUCCAAAAAUGA